CAUUUUAGCAUACAUGUUGACUCUGGCAGCAAUAUGUAUUCUGUACAUUGCCUAGCUCCAUUCCAACCUAUUCAUACAGGAGUGCUGUGCCUGCUUUGGAACUGCCUUGCGCUAUUUUCACAGAUUUUGACUGAGGUUCCUGGACAGUCUCCUCUACUUCCCUGGCUUUCCCAGAACUGUGGAUAUAUUCACCUCAGCAAACACCUAUCUAACUGUGCAUUCUCAAGAAACAGCAAACCGAGCUAUUCACCAAACACCAUCAAGCUUCU
rnacentral:lncRNA from 1 species